rnacentral:tRNA from 1 species
GCGCCCAUAGCUCAGUUGGUAGAGCACCUCCCUUUUAAGGAGUGGGUCGUAGGUUCGAUUCCUACUGGGCGCA